UGAUAUUAAAGCUAAUGCAUCUUAAAUAUGAGUAUAUUGGUAUGUGUAUAAAUGUGACUGGCAUGCAUUUUAAUUGUUUAUAUAAAAAGGAGACAAGGAGUAUGAAUGUGGCUUUCCAUGGCCUAUUUGAAUCUGAUUUUAUUUAUGUGUGCAUAAAAGUAAUUUGUAAGUAUUUUUCAUUUAUGUAUGUGUUUUUUUGGCAGCGGUGAAUGAAACUUAUGUGGACAGUAUUGAUAAUGGAGGUGACAUUAUAGGGAACUUGCAAGAGGAGAAUGGAAACAAUACAACGAAAAAUGUGUUCCUCAUUAAAUACAGUUAUGCAGCACUUAUUAUAACAAUAGCUGCUGUGAUAGUUGCAGUUCCAGCAGUAGUUGGAUGGUGUCUGUAUUACAGACUAAGGAAGAAGAUGCUAAGAAAUGAUGAAGAAAGAGCAAUGAAGAAUCCACAGCCAGCAAUGGAGAAUCCAAAGCCAAAAAAACGUUUUCUUAACAUAUUCAGGCUUCUGUAUAACAGAGUAAAGAGAAGGAAGACUAUGUAUGAUGAGGAAAGUGUAAUAGAGAAAUCACAGACUAAGCCUACACCCUCUCAAUCCAAAUCUACUACAAG